rnacentral:tRNA from 1 species
CGGGGCGUAGCGCAGCUGGCUAGCGCACUCGCUUGGGGUGCGAGAGGUCGUGCGUUCGAAUCGCAUCGCCCCGACCA